rnacentral:rRNA from 1 species
GGACGAACGCUGGCGGCGUGCCUAACACAUGCAAGUCGAGCGGAGUCAGUAAGAGGAAGUUUCGGAUGGAAUCUUGUUGAUUUAGCGGCGGACGGGUGAGUAACGCGUGAGCGACCAACCUUGCACAGGGGGAUAACGGACCGAAAGGUUCACUAAUACCGCAUGAGACCACGGUGUUGCAUGACACAGAGGUCAAAGGAGCAAUCCGGUGCAAGACGGGCUCGCGUCCGAUUAGGUAGUUGGAGGGGUAACGGCCCACCAAGCCUAUGAUCGGUAGCCGACCUGAGAGGGUGAUCGGCCACAUUGGAACUGAGAUACGGUCCAAACUCCUACGGGAGGCAGCAGUGGGGAAUAUUGGGCCAAUGGGGGAAACCCUGACCCAGCAACGCCGCGUGAAGGAAGAAGGUUUUCGGAUUGUAAACUUCUGUCCUUGGUGAAGAGAAGAAGACGGUAGCCAAGGAGGAAGCCCCGGCUAACUACGUGCCAGCCGCCGC